UGCCUGCCUCAGAGUCACUGUGAUGUGAGC
rnacentral:piRNA from 2 species